rnacentral:rRNA from 1 species
GACGACGCUGGCGGCGUGCCUAAUACAUGCAAGUAGGACGAGUUGCGAACGGGUGAGUAACGCGUGGUAACCUGCCUAAAAGAGGGGGAUAACUAUUAGAAACGAUAGCUAAUACCGCAUAAUAGUAGAUGAACCUGCGUGUGAUUAGCUAGUAGGUAGGGUAAUGGCCUACCUAGGCGACGCAACAUAGCCGGACGGAGGGGAUGACCAGCCACACUGGAACUGAGACACGGUCCAGACUCCUCAGGGAGGCAGCAGUGGGGAAUAUUGCACAAUGGGCGCAAGCCUGAUGCAGCCAUGCCGCGUGUAUGAAGAAGGCCUUCGGGUUGUAAAGUACUUUCAGCGGGGAGGCGUUACCCGCAGAAGAAGCACCGGCUAACUCCGUGCCAGCAGCCGCGGUAAUAC